ensembl:lncRNA
AUGUGUGUUGAGAAGGUAAUUGGUGGUCUUCCGCAGAGACGCUCAGCUGCAGAUGGGGGAGAUGCAGGUCAUGCCAUUUCCUUACUCUCCACUGGCUGUUGUGCCAAAGGGAAGGUUCGGUCCGGCUGUGAUCAGGACUGGUCUGCUAAAUUUGGCACAGAGAGUUACAACUCUAAGACAGUCAUUUUGCAACCACAUUUUCUUCUCUUUCUGCUCGUGAGUACAUUGCCCCCUCCCCAGGAUCCAAGGAUCUCCUUCUACAGUGCCCAUACUCUCUUCAUUUCUAUAUUCCAUCUGAUCAUUUUGCAGCAGCUUUCCCUUCUGCAGUGUACCAAAGUGCUUGCCUUCUGGAGAGGGAGCCCCCCAUGGCUUGUUCUCACUCGUCCCAGGGAGGUGCUCCUCCUGCAUGGCUCUUCACUGACGGCUGCAGUUGUAAUUGAGCUGCUGUAA